GGGAGUGAAAAGCCCUAGGACCUCGUCCCGGGCCCAGACAACAAAGACACCCCCACCCACCACCAGUUUUCUCCCCAAAUCCCAGUGACACCAAAGGUUCCCAUUGGAACCAUAAUUUCUUCACUUGACAAAGGCAGAAACUGGGAUCCAGAAAGGAGAAGGUGCCGACGGUGCCUAGCCAGAAGUGGUAGUGCUGGCACCCACCUUUGGGUUAGUCCAACUUCAGAGGGAGGCUCUAGAUCACUCGGGGAGCAAGCAUUGGAGUCACUGCAGAUGCAGAUAUUUGGAUGCGUCUGGAGUCACCAGGGAUCUGCUGAGUGCCAGAAAGGACCGCAGAGCAAAGCUUCCAGCCAGUUGUAAUGGACCGGGAAAGUGCUGGCUCCCCAGGCUCCCUGUGAAAGUCAAGUGUGAUGGCAGUCUCUCAGUGGAGCAUACCUGCGGCACAGCCCAGACACUGAACUUGGAUCCCAGUUUACACCACAUUCUAGACGUGUGAUUUGGGGCAAGUUACUCACCCUCUCAGAGAGCCUCAGUUUACAUGUCUGUAAAGUUGGAAGACGGAUCCCUGCACAGCAGAGGAGUACCACAGAGGCGGCACUAAGGAAGAUAUAGUAUGAAAAUUCUCGACUGUACACAUGGGAGGAGAGGAACCCCCUUGCCCAGCAGCCUCGUUCUUCAGUUAUCAGAACUGGCCAGCAAUACUGACUGAGAGAAGUGGAGACAGCAGCACCUGUGGGUACUCACAGGGGGCUGUAGUUUCAUCUUUAACCCUGCAAAUGUUCCUGAGGAGCACCAGCCAGGUCCAUGGAAUAUAGGCAGCAGCCCUGGGACAGCAGAGGUGAGUUCUCCACCGUGGGCCACUGGGACUUUGUCUGGGAGACAUUUGAAGAAAGAUGAGCUUAAGAGCAAAUAAGCUUGGGUACUCCAGUGUGUACACUUGCCUCUGGGAGAGUCCCCGGGCUCAUCACAAGACCUGGCUCUGAGAAGACAUACUGCAGUAACUCUAGUUAGCGUACUUAGCCAUGACAUCCCCACCUCUUACUCUAGUCUAAGCUGGCCUGAAACUCACUAUAUAGUCCAGACUGAUCUUGAACUUAUAGUAAUCCUCCUGUCUCAGCUUCCCAAGUGAUAGAAGUAGUAAGUAAUCACACUGGCUUCUCUUUUCCUUUCUGUUGGAGGAAUAGCCAACAUAUUCGUUAAAAGGUUCAUCUUGGCUCACAGAUUUGGAGGUUCUGGUCCAGGAUCAGUUGAGCCCACUGCUUUGGAGUCUGUGGUAAGGCAGCAUAAGGGUGUGAAAAAACUCACUCCAUGACCAGGAAGAAAAAGAAAUAACGAUGCCAGUCAUGGUGGUGCACACCUGUAGUCUUGACUCCUACACAAGCAGGUCAAGAGUUCAAAGAUAGUCUGGGACGAAAAGUGAAGACCCUAUCAAAAACUAACAAAAAAUGACUGUAAUACCAGCACUCAGGAGGCUGAGACAGGGGUAUGGAGAGUUCAAGGGCAGUGUGGGCCACAUAAUGAUACCCUGCCUCAAUAAACCAAUAAAAAUGCCUGCAACACCAACACUCGGAAGCCUGAGACAAGAGGACAGACUUUAAAACUAGCCUAAGCUAUAUGGAAAGACCCUGUCUGUAAAGAAAGAGGGAGAGUGUCCUGAACAGUUUUAUGUCAACUUAAAUAGUUUUAUGUUAUC